CUGCAAUUAGCGGAAUGCCAGCCAGCAGGUGGAGACGCAUGAAAGCAAUCCCAGAGCACGGACGGGCUGCCUCGACACCGCAUUCCCAUAGCCCCGGCCAAGCCAGCCAGAAAAUAUCGGUAUUGGCUCCACGGAAAAGUGCAGAACUAAAAAUCUUGGAUUGCUGACAGGACAUGUGACGGAGCAGCCCCUGCUGAGGAGCCGUCCAGCACCUUUCAUGUCUCAGUUUGCAGCACUGAGGUGACAUCAAUGGCUUCUGGGCUGUCACCAGGACAGAAAAACCAGAGGCCAUGUGAGCAAGCUUGUCACACACCCUGCCUGAUGAUAAGGAGGGAAUGUUGGAGCAUCAGCAGGACUGUGGCUGCAGGGCUGGUGCCAAGGGCAGGCCCCUCAAACCCAGCACGGUUCCACCGUGACGUUCCAGCAGGAUCUCCAGGGCUUCUCCUGGGAAGGACGUGGGGCUCUUGGAUGUGA
rnacentral:lncRNA from 1 species